UUUCCCUCGGUUGCUUAUCCUCUUCAGCCCUCCACAACAGUACUGUACCUACUGAAAUGCAUUUUUGAAAACCUUUGAAUGCACGCUGUAGCGUGGGGGCUGGGAGGAGGGUGUAUUUCCACGUACUCCCUUCGCCUCGCGGGAUCCAGCGCAUGCGCUCUGCAGCAGGGCCCAGCUCCCCGCGGGCGCCGUGUAACUGGGAAGGCCAGGCCGGCCUUGGGUGGUAGGCUGGCCGCCAUCCCACGGGAGGAGGCGUGAGCGGGGCGGGGCAGGAACGUCUUUCUCCCGGACCGCGCCCUGGGCGGGCACAGAUACCUGCCUCACGGACCAUGGCUGCAGCGGCGUUGAGGCAGAUUUGGACCCGAAAAUUUCUCCCUGUCCCUUGGCUUCUGUGUGGUCCCAGAAGAUAUGACUCAUCCAGCUUCAAGGCUGCAGACCUGCAGCUGGAGAUGACACAGGAGCCUCAUAAGAAGCCUGACCCCAGCAAGCCCCUGCUGUUCGGGAAGACAUUCACCGACCACAUGCUGAUGGUGGAGUGGAACAAGGAGAAGGGCUGGUGCCAGCCCCGAAUCCAGCCCUUCCAGAACCUCAAACUGCACCCGGCCUGCUCGGCUCUCCACUAUUCCCUGCAGCUCUUUGAAGGCAUGAAGGCGUUCAAAGGCGGGGACCAGCGCGUGCGUCUCUUUCGACCUUGGCUCAACAUGGACCGGAUGCUGCGCUCGGCCCUGCGCCUCUGCCUGCCGAGUUUUGACAAGGUCGAGUUGCUCCAGUGCAUCCGCCGGCUGGUGGAAGUGGACAAGGACUGGGUUCCCGACAGCUCCGGCACCAGCCUCUAUGUGCGGCCUGUGUUCAUUGGGAACGAGCCCUCGCUAGGUGUCGGCAACCCCACGCGAGCCCUCCUGUUCGUCAUCCUCUGCCCGGUGGGCGCGUACUUCCCCGGAGAUGCCUUGAGCCCCGUCUCUCUCCUGGCUGACCCAUCAUUCAUCCGGGCCUGGGUGGGUGGGGUCGGUGACUGCAAGCUGGGGGGGAAUUACGGGCCCACCGUGUUUGUGCAGCAGGAGGCCCAAAAGAAGGGGUGUGAACAGGUCCUGUGGCUGUAUGGGCCUGACCACCAGCUCACUGAGGUGGGCACCAUGAACAUCUUUGUCUUCUGGACCCACGAGGAUGGGGUGCUGGAACUGGUGACCCCCCCACUGGACGGUGUCAUCCUGCCUGGAGUAGUUCGACAGAGUCUGCUGGACCUGGCUCGGACCUGGGGUGAGUUCCGGGUGGCAGAGCGUAAGAUCACCAUGAAGGAGUUCCUGCAGGCGCUGGAGGACGGCCGGGUUCGAGAAGUCUUCGGUUCAGGCACCGCUUGCCAGGUCUGCCCUGUGCACCGAAUCCUGUACCAAGGCAAGCACCUCCACAUUCCCACCAUGGAAAACGGGCCGGAGCUUGUCCUCCGCUUCCACAAGGAACUGAAGGCGAUCCAGGAAUGUUUCCUCUCAUAAGCCUCUGGAGGUAUCUUCAUUCGUCUGGACCGAGGUAUCUUGCCUUUCCUGGCACUCGUGUGAGCGUCUGUAAACUCCUGUGCAUCCGGACCUAGAACUACACCUCCUGACUCAGCUGAAAACGACUUUUUCCCAGAGCCUUCAGGGUCUUACAAGAACUCCUCUUUGCAGAACUACAUCUCCCUAUGGAACAAAAGCCCACGAGUGGAUGCUACCUGUGUGAUGCUGCGGGCUGUGCCGGACCACUCCACGGAUCCACCGACCUGUAGCAUCCAGUCCCUGUUGGACCUUCUCCUCCAUACCCGUGAUUCACCUGAAGUGCAAUAUGAAAGAAAAGGUGGCGGGCCGGGACGCCUGGGUUGCCGGUGCCCCCGCGUUACACUCCCAAAGCCAUAAGGGCCCGACCCAGGCGUGUUGGCCCCUAGCCCCGCCGCUCAGGCCUUGGGGACCUGGACUCGCCUUUGCUCUGUGUCGUGGGGUCAAGGAUACACCUUGACUCAGACUCUGACUCUCCGUUUUCAGGCCGGAUCAACCGGUGCUGCUGUUGAUUUUUUUCCCUAGCUGCAAUUUUGAAAUAAAAUGCCAAAGAACAAG